CAGCUGUUUACGCAUCCAGCGUCCUGCACCGCCUCCUUCACCAAUGGCGUGGGGAAGCAGAGUAGUUCCAGGGAGUAAUCUGGGAUGCCUGAUGGUAAAAGCAGGUGUCUCCUACCUGCAAAGCUUGCUGGAACCAGCAGUGAACUCCUCUGACCAUACCCCAACUUCUGUUCAUUCACCAGGUCGGAUGUCUGGCCUGAGGCCUAGGUGAGGCUGGGGAUUUCUGCUUUUGAGACGUCUGAGUUUGGGGACCCAUCUCACCAACCUCCCUGGGCUGACAGCAAAGCCUCUGACUAGGGGCCUGUUGUGAGACUCAAGGCUGAUGAUGCUGGUGAGAAGCAAGAGCACCCUGUAUACUGAAGUUUUAUAAAUCAGUAAAUAGUGAUUAAUAUAAAUGUACCAUCCUCUUACCUCCCACUUCCAAUCAAACAACGGAACUCAUUUGGAAUUCAGAAGAGACUGAAUAGCACCUUAUUCAGAAAAGCAAAGCAUUAGGUGGACAAUCGGCUUGCAGAAAACUCAGUGUGAUCAAGGAAUCAGAAAAUCAUCAACAGAUGCCACAGGCUACACUAAUAGGAGACUGUUGUGAGGAUCCAGUGAGGUGUUACAUAAAGUGCUUAGAGAAGUCCCUGAUGCAUGCCAAGCUGACGAUAUGAUUAUUAUCUAAAAUCUCCCCCACACCCCAGAAAGUGCUCGCUUAUCCUCUGAGAGUUGGUUUAGAUGCCACUUCCUCCGGGAGGCUGAUCCAGCCUUCCUGGACAGGCAGGUUUCAUCAUUUCACCAAGCCUGUUUUCUCAAUGUAAGACAGAGAUAAUAACAGUGCUUACCUCAAAGGGUUGUGGCAAGAAGAAAGGGAGACAAUGUAUGAAGACUGUAUGCAUCAUGCCAGUUACAGAUUGCAAGCCGCACAACCUCUAAGGACUGGGACACACCCAGUUAGUGACUGGGAGAAUACAUCCCUACUCUUUGGAAGGACAUGGAGGCCCCGUUUCACCUCCACCUGCUCUUCUGGGCUCUCAGCAUGCCGCCCCGCUUUGCUUUCUGAGCACGCUUCUGGGCUCUUGUUUCCACGAUUUUCUCCAUCGGGAAUGCCAUCUCUGCAGGACUCCUGGCUAGGAAGUGCCCCUUGAAACUUCUGGUCUCUUAUAUAUUCUCUUUGAUGGACACUGACUAGA